GAUGAACGCUGGCGGCGUGCUUAACACAUGCAAGUCGAACGGGAAACCUUUUAUUGAAGCUUCGGCAGAUUUAGCUGGUUUCUAGUGGCGGACGGGUGAGUAACGCGUGGGUAACCUGCCUUAUACAGGGGGAUAACAACCAGAAAUGGUUGCUAAUACCGCAUAAGCGCACAGGACCGCAUGGUCCGGUGUGAAAAACUCCGGUGGUAUAAGAUGGACCCGCGUUGGAUUAGCUAGUUGGCAGGGUAACGGCCUACCAAGGCGACGAUCCAUAGCCGGCCUGAGAGGGUGAACGGCCACAUUGGGACUGAGACACGGCCCAGACUCCUACGGGAGGCAGCAGUGGAGAAUAUUGCACAAUGGGGGAAACCCUGAUGCAGCGACGCCGCGUGAAGGAAGAAGUAUCUCGGUAUGUAAACUUCUAUCAGCAGGGAAGAUAGUGACGGUACCUGACUAAGAAGCCCCGGCUAACUACGUG
rnacentral:rRNA from 1 species